rnacentral:misc_RNA from 1 species
CCAAACUUGGUCAUUUAGAGGAAGUAAAAGUCGUAACAAGGUUUCCGUAGGUGGGGAUCAUUAAUUUUUUUUUUUGAGCCAUUUUUUUAUGGCUUCAAAAAAAAAAAUCUACACACUCACCCUUUGUGCAACCACUGAGAAAAAGUUAAUCUUUGGGAGAUGAGUUUCUUUUGAUCUCAUCUCCCAAAGGUGUUUGUAUAACUUUUUCUAUUCUUAUAAAACAACUUUCAACAACGGAUCUCUUGGCUCUCGCAUCGAUGAAGAACGCAGC